GUAGGUGAACCUGCGGAAGGAUCAUUACAAAUCCAAACAACAAUUACCCGUUGAAAUGUUCUCGGCCUUGGUUGUAGCACCACACAUGUGUCUUUGUAUACAUAUGCUGCAUGCCGUGUAAAAUGGAAGUGUCUUCAUUUCCACCCAAGGUCCGAUCUUAAUAAUAACGUUAUUUAUAAUGGCCAUACGUAAUGUGUGACUAAUUAAAACAACUUUUAACAAUGGAUCUCUAGGCUCUU
rnacentral:misc_RNA from 1 species